AUUGAACGCUGGCGGCAGGCCUAACACAUGCAAGUCGAACGGUAGCACAGAGAGCUUGCUCUUGGGUGACGAGUGGCGGACGGGUGAGUAAUGUCUGGGAAACUGCCCGAUGGAGGGGGAUAACUACUGGAAACGGUAGCAAAUACCGCAUAACGUCUUCGGACCAAAGUGGGGGACCUUCGGGCCUCACACCAUCGGAUGUGCCCAGAUGGGAUUAGCUAGUAGGUGGGGUAAAGGCUCACCUAGGCGACGAUCCCUAACUGGUCUGAGAGGAUGACCAGCCACACUGGAACUGAGACACGGUCCAGACUCCUACGGGAGGCAGCAGUGGGGAAUAUUGCACAAUGGGCGCAAGCCUGAUGCAGCCAUGCCGCGUGUAUGAAGAAGGCCUUCGGGUUGUAAAGUACUUUCAGCGGGGAGGAAGGCGUUAAGGUUAAUAACCUUGGCGAUUGACGUUACCCGCAGAAGAAGCACCGGCUAACUCCGUGCCAGCCGCCGCGGUAA
rnacentral:rRNA from 1 species